UACGAAGGGGGCUAGCGUUGUUCGGAUUUACUGGGCGUAAAGCGCACGUAGGCGGACUCUUAAGUCAGGGGUGAAAUCCUGGAGCUCAACUCCAGAACUGCCCUUGAUACUGGGAGCCUUGAGUUCGGGAGAGGUGAGUGGAACUGCGAGUGUAGAGGUGAAAUUCGUAGAUAUUCGCAAGAACACCAGUGGCGAAGGCAGGUCUCUGGGCUAGAACUGACGCUCAUGCACGAAAGCGUGGGGAGCAAACAGG
rnacentral:rRNA from 1 species